rnacentral:rRNA from 1 species
UACGAAGGGAGCUAGCGUUGUUCGGAAUCACUGGGCGUAAAGCGCACGUAGGCGGAUUUGUCAGUCAGGGGUGAAAUCCCGGGGCUCAACCUCGGAACUGCCUUUGAUACAGCAAGUCUUGAGUUCGAGAGAGGUGGGUGGAAUUCCUAGUGUAGAGGUGAAAUUCGUAGAUAUUAGGAAGAACACCGGUGGCGAAGGCGGCCCACUGGCUCGAUACUGACGCUGAGGUGCGAAAGCGUGGGGAGCGAACGGG